AAAAAGAUAAGCUAAGAAAGCUAAUGGGUUCAUACCCCGUAUAUAAAGGUUUAAAUCCUUUUCUUUUUA
rnacentral:tRNA from 1 species